UUAACUUUCCAUCUCCAGACUCCUCAAGCAGACAAGACAUCACUGUUUGUUUCUUCUAACCUGCUGUUUCCGUUAUGACACAGCAACUCUUCUGUAAGCUUCAGGCCACGCCUACCCCCUCAGUCCAUAUCUGCACUUGCUUAUAGGCCAUUCCUUUUGUUUGAAAAUAAAUAAUAAAUAAAGCUAGUUCUAUUGAAAUGCAACCCUUUCUGUACCAUCUAUUCUUAAGUAAUUCAGUUAUUGGGGAAAUGUACUUUUUUUUUUUUAAAGUACUAUGGCUAAGGCUUACCUCACAAAAUGUGGUUGGAUUAAGUUGUGUGUUUCAAACAGGAGAAGUGAACAUACUCUCUGUUGUUUUGCACAUCAAGAGUGGGGUGAGGAGUUGGGUUGUAAGAGGAUUUGGACUCAUCGUUAUCCAAUUAACAGCUCUGGGAUGGGCCACUCUCCACCAUGGUAAGAAAUCCAGAAAUUGUACAGAUUCUAGUCAAGAGAAGGUGCCAAGACGCCAGGAACCAGACACUACUAAUGCAGCAGCAUUUCUACACCCACUGGCCGACUUGGAUUCUCAUCGGUUUUAACUAUUUGAACCAUUAAGUUAAGGGCGCAGAUAAAACCCUCCUGGCAUUAAGUCUUGGUCGCACAAAUGGCUACCUUCCCGACUUUGUCCUCUGUUCUGUGUCUUCAUUGUUUAGUAGAACCCUGUCACCUUGAAGCGAAGCCCAUAUUGCAUCCAGUGAAAUGAUUGGCAGCUCUGGCUUGAUGCAAGUCUGCAUGAAGACGUGAUGGCUCCAUGACUAGUUCAUUAGUUUUCACUCUGCUUCUAAAACAAGAAGUUGUAUGGACAGUCCUGGCACUUUGGGUUUCUUAGGGGAUUCCUAAAGCUGUGAAGUAGUUUCUGUGACAUGAACUGCAGCACAAAUUGGUUUAAACUUAACUUCGGCUCAAAAACCUAUGAGCAUGCGUUGCCUCGCAGACUGCUACUCUUGGGGCCUCUCACUGGUGGUUCUGUCUGAGUAGUGAUUAUACUGCAAGCUGUAUUCCUGGGGUGAUUAGGUGUACUUCCUCCCCUGCAGAAAGCUCAGGAGGUAACAGAAACAGCACCAAAUGAUUGGCACUGCAGCCAUUGUACUGUGUGGCAAGAAAGACCCCCUUCUCCCCAACAGUGUCUUCAAAGAGAUAAGAUGCCGGAGUGCUCUCAUUUACAAAACGGUACAUCUGUUCAGAAAAUAAAACCAACCAGACAAAAAGCUGACA
rnacentral:lncRNA from 1 species